rnacentral:rRNA from 1 species
AUUGAACGCUGGCGGCAGGCCUAACACAUGCAAGUCGAGCGGAGCGGCGGACGGGUGAGUAAGGGCUAGGAAUCUGCCUGGUAGUGGGGGAUAACGUCCGGAAACGGGAGCUAAUACCGCAUACUAUCAGAUGAGACUAGGUCGGAUUGGCUAGUUGGGGGGGUAAAGGCCUACCAGGGCGACGAUCCGGAACUGGUCUGAGAGGAUGAUCAGUCACACGGGAACUGAGACACGGUCCAGACUCCUACGGGAGGCAGCAGUGGGGAAUAUUGGACAAGGGGCGAAAGCCUGAUCCAGCCAUGCCGCGUGUGUGAAGAAGGUCUUCGGAUUGUAAAGCACUUUAAGUUGGGAGGCGUUACCAGCAGAAGAAGCACCGGCUAACUCCGUGCCAGCAGCCGCGGUAAUAC